AGUCUUCCCAACGUCAGGUUUCCUCUAUAAAAAGGCAGUCCUCUGUGCGCAGUUUUCCGUAUGGGUUUGCUGUGGUGUGCUUUGAGUUAACAUGAAUGCUUGUGAGUGGGAUCCAGAGAAACUGUAACAAUGUUGAAGCUAGGGAGCAAAGUGGUGCUGGUACCCGCAGAGCCAACCGGGCUCACUGCGCCCUCUGGGACCUUGGACUCUGAGGAGGAACUGAACCGUUCCUUUCGGAUUAGGCUGCCCUUCGGUCUGACUCCUGUCUGGAACCAGACUGCUCCUGGUGGAACGGUGCCUGUUGGAAGUCUGUUGGCCUUUGGUGUGACAGAGAUCAGACUCCCUCCAUCAGAGUCUGGGGGCCGUUAUCAUUUGUCCCUCUUGGCCUCGCUACCGCCCUCUUUAUGGGCAACACCUUCCGGUAAUACUAGCAGAAUGCACAGUGCACCUCCCAUCAGGAUUUCACUGGAUUUCUCAAAAUCUCUUCUUAGGAUGGAUCAAUACUUUAUAAAGAAGCCCUUCAAGGCAUCAAGGCUAUAUAUAGUAGGAGAUUACAAGGCUCGGAGCCUCAUUAUCCCCUGCACUAGUCCCUGUGAUACCACUGUUUUACCUGUGAAAGAGCCCAGUAGCUGAGGAUGGGGGUUUGUCCUCGACCUCUGAGCAAUAAAUAACAUUGUUACCGCUUGGCACCUGUU